UAGGGAAUCUUCCGCAAUGGGCGAAAGCUUGACGGAGCAACGCCGCGUGAGUGAUGAAGGUCUUCGGAUCGUAAAACUCUGUUAUUAGGGAAGAACAAAUGUGUAAGUAACUAUGCACGUCUUGACGGUACCUAAUCAGAAAGCCACGGCUAACUACGUGCCAGCAGCCGCGGUAAUACGUAGGUGGCAAGCGUUAUCCGGAAUUAUUGGGCGUAAAGCGCGCGUAGGCGGUUUUUUAAGUCUGAUGUGAAAGCCCACGGCUCAACCGUGGAGGGUCAUUGGAAACUGGAAAACUUGAGUGCAGAAGAGGAAAGUGGAAUUCCAUGUGUAGCGGUGAAAUGCGCAGAGAUAUGGAGGAACACCAGUGGCGAAGGCGACUUUCUGGUCUGUAACUGACGCUGAUGUGCGAAAGCGUGGGGAUCAAACAG
rnacentral:rRNA from 1 species